AAUACCCUGCUGUGCUGGUGAUGCCGCAUAACCGGUUUUGGGCCAACACUUACUAAAAGGGUCUUUAUCUCACAACCGUGAUGCGAUAGGCUUCGGCCAAGGCAGAUCUGUUGGGUCGGGACCCACCUGCGAAAGCAGGUUCAAAACUCCGCAGCACACCGCAUGGUGGGGACCUU
rfam:Ornatilinea apprima strain P3M-1 contig_22, whole genome shotgun sequence.